GGGGAUUGGUUUCUAAGGGACUAGCUAAAUUACAGGAUUUUAGCACAAAGCUAUCAAUGGUAAAUACUAAGAUAACUGCAUUUGGAAUCAUAUUUUGCUGUUCAUAUGCAGCAGUGCUAUUGUGUGCAUUUGAUGUGAGAUAUUUCUUAAGUUAUGUUUUGAAGUGAAGCUUUCUGGCCUGUGUGGGGUAGUUAGUAUAUGAGUAUUGAUCCGUUUUGUGUGCAUAAACUUGAAUGUGCUUUUAAACACAGACGUUUUCCCAAACGUGCUUGCCUUAUGAGGCAUAAAUACACUUUAUAUAAUCAUGUAAAUCCAUGUAAUAAGCAACUAGCUUGAAUGUCAAGAUUGUAAAUACAUAAUGCUGAUUUGUAAUUAGCGUAGGGUGUAAUUAGUGUAAAGACUCUGGUCUGUAAGAUAUUAAAGCAAAACAUUUGUGUUUUUUAUGAUUAGCCAUUUCGUAAAUCAUCUUCAGUGUUAGAGAAGCCUCUGAGAGGGUCUUUGCUCCCUUUGAGUUUCCAACACGUCUCAGCAGCGGGGGUGGGGGGGAAGACAAGUAAUUUACACUGCUGACAUCUUAUUCCUGUCAGUUAGAACUUGUGAACACGUUAAUGGUUGUGUACGCAGGACUGUUCUGUCCUAGAUCCUAGGCUGAAAGGUCUGUGCAGCUCUUGCCAUUUACUGUAAUGUGAUUCAGAGACAAUGACUUCUCAGUUCUUUCCUUUCAGAGCUGCAAAGCUCAUUUUAAUCAGCGCCUUUUUUUUUUUUCUUUGCCAAAAGACAUGGGGAGCUUGUGUGAGAGGGAAGGGAAUAAUCAGGGAGUCUGCAGUCCUUGAAGCCUACCCAGGGAGGAGAGGAAGGGAUGAUGGUAACAAGUUCGUGCCAGAUGAGGUGAUGGGGUUCCUCUCUUCAGUUGAUGUUCAGUUUGCUAGCACUUUGAGCACGUACCUCAGGAUCUGUAUGAAGGAUGACAGCCCAUGCUCACCUAUUCACAAGAUACUGAAGCUUCAUCUUAUUCCUUAGAGAUUCCUUGCUCUCCUCUAAGAUGAGAAUCUACUGAGUCUCUCCACAGGCCUCUCCUGUCUCACGUGCAGUCCAGGUCAGGUGUGCUCUGUGAAAAACUUCAAGAGAAACAAUUGAUGGCAGUAGAUGGAUCACUUCCUCUGCUUCCUUCUCUAUUGUAUUCUUCCAAACUUCCACCAUCUUGAGAAUUGUGAACUUUCACGAUAUAUCAGUAAAAUAGUGAGCACAACCUAAGGAGCAUGAAAAACCCACCUCUAAAUACUAGAAAAGACAAAAUUACUGAGAGGUAACUCAUUAGUGACUACUCAAGUUGGUAUUGUAAAUAGCGCUUUUGAUGGAUGAUGGUAUAGUAAAAGCAUUGCAUUCUGGUACUGAAUACAUCUGUUGCUCGAACAUCUGUGUCCUUGGACAGAUCCAACUUUAGAAAUGAAUUAUAACAACUUUCUUCAGGCAAUAAAUUUAUUAUAGACGAUCUGAGUGUAUACA
rnacentral:lncRNA from 1 species